UACAGAGGUCCCGAGCGUUGUUCGGAUUCACUGGGCGUAAAGGUGCGUAGGUGGCUUGAAAAGUUUGAUGUGAAAGCUCAGGGCUUAACCCUGAAAUGGCAUUGAAUACUGUCGGGCUGGAGGUUUGGAGGGGGGACUGGAAUUCUUGGUGUAGCAGUGAAAUGCGUAGAUAUCAAGAGGAACACCAGUGGCGAAGGCGAGUCCCUGGACAACACCUGACACUGAGGCACGAAAGCUAGGGGAGCAAACAGG
rnacentral:rRNA from 1 species